rnacentral:rRNA from 1 species
UCCUGCGAAAGCAGGCUCCCGCAAGGGCCGAUGUCGAGGUGCUGCAUGGCUGUCGUCAGCUCGUGUCGUGAGAUGUUGGGUUAAGUCCCGCAACGAGCGCAACCCUUGUCGCUGUUGCCAUCACGUUAUGGUGGGCACUCUGCGGAGACUGCCGGUGAUAAACCGGAGGAAGGUGGGGAUGACGUCAAGUCAGCAUGGCCUUUAUGUCUGGGGCUACACACGUGCUACAAUGGCCGGUACAAACCGUCGCGAUGCCGUAAGGUGGAGCUAAUCGGAGAAAGCCGGUCUCAGUUCGGAUUGCAGGCUGCAACUCGCCUGCAUGAAGUUGGAAUCGCUAGUAAUCGCGGAUCAGCACGCCGCGGUGAAUACGUUCCCGGGCCUUGUACACACCGCCCGUCACAUCACGAAAGCUGGCUGUACUAGAAGUCACCACGCUAACCCGCAAGGGGGGCAAGUGCCUAAGGUAUGGUCAGUGAUUGGGGUGAAGUCGUAACAAGGUAGGCGUAGAUGA